UACUCUAUUGUUCUCUCUAAAGUAAUUUUAUUGGAUUUGAGUAAAAAGCAUGGCAAAACUUUUCAUUCUUAAGAUAAUUUCAGCUAUAGCUCUUUUUUGGCACAACUCAUUUGAUUUUCUUUCCUUUGAUUUCUCUAUACUGUUAUUUGCAAGAGAUAAAGUAGAACUCUUUUUUUUUAUUUUCUUUUCUUUGUUGCUUUUUAAUGAAUGGGAACGAAAACAAAAAUUAUUGAUAAUAUUUAUUUAUCUUUCUCUCUUCGAUCUGUGCAGCGCGUUUCCUGAGAAUGACUCAAUAUAGAGAUCAAUGUUGAGGAGAAGCUUCUACAUAGCAAUGGAACCUCUAUUGCUGCUAGUGUCAACUCUAACGAUAGACGUGAUGAUGGGCGUGACUCUAUGAGUGACGAACUGGAAUCGAGCACGCUUAAAAACUAUGGAUUGCGAAAGAACCAAUGGAAGCUGCCUUGAGCUAUCCUCGUCUGCUACUGGAACAAGAGCCUUGUUCUUUAAUUCUUCUUCUUGGCGCUUGAAGCGACAUCACUCGGCUAAUAAACAAGUAGUCCCUCACACACUUGAACUCAUGCUAUUUUAUCUAAUUUAUUUUAAUUUUAUUUUUCAAAUUUUUUUUUUAAUUUCCAUAUCAUUAUUUUCUACAGUUUCUUUG
rnacentral:lncRNA from 1 species